GGAUAACUACUCGAAAGAGUAGCUAAUACCGCAUACGAUCUGAGGAUGAAAGCGGGGGACCUUCGGGCCUCGCGCGAUUGGAGCGGCCGAUGGCAGAUUAGGUAGUUGGUGGGAUAAAAGCUUACCAAGCCGACGAUCUGUAGCUGGUCUGAGAGGACGACCAGCCACACUGGGACUGAGACACGGCCCAG
rnacentral:rRNA from 1 species